rnacentral:rRNA from 1 species
GAUGAACGCUGGCGGCGUGCCUAAUACAUGCAAGUCGAGCGAACAGACGAGGAGCUUGCUCCUCUGACGUUAGCGGCGGACGGGUGAGUAACACGUGGAUAACCUACCUAUAAGACUGGGAUAACUUCGGGAAACCGGAGCUAAUACCGGAUAAUAUAUUGAACCGAAUGGUUCAAUAGUGAAAGACGGUUUUGCUGUCACUUAUAGAUGGAUCCGCGCCGCAUUAGCUAGUUGGUAAGGUAACGGCUUACCAAGGCAACGAUGCGUAGCAGACCUGAGAGGAUGAACGACCACACUAAGACUGAGACACGAACAAGACUCCUAGAGGAGGCAGCAGUAGGGAAUCUUCCGCAAUGGGCGAAAACCUGACGGAGCAACGCCGAGUGAGUGAUGAACCUCUUCGGAUCGUAAAACUCUGUUAUUAGAGAAGAACAAAUGUGUAAGUAACUAUGCACGUCUUGACAGUACCUAAACAGAAAGCCACGGCUAACUACGUG